CCGGUGGGCGGGGCCGCGUCUUCCACUUGGAAUAAGCGGCGGAGGAGCGCGAUGGAUCCGGGCUCGGUCUUGCUGGAGGCGGCGAACUGGAGCACCAUCGCGGCCUGCCUGGUGCUGAAGUUGCCCCAGGGAGCCGCCUUGGUGGCCGCCAGGUCCGCCCGAGGAGUCAGCCUGGAAAGUUUAGUGCUGGAGCUCGGCGGUUUCCUUGUUUGUCUGAGAUACAUGAGUUACUACCGUCAUCCUCUGCUAACAUAUAUAGAAUAUCCCCUCAUGAUUGUGCAAGAUAUCAUUCUUUGCCUGCUUGUUCUGCAUUUCAAUGGCAAAAUGAAGCAUGCUUUGCCUUACACAGUCAUAUUUGUGGCAGGAUGGUAUGCUUUAACUCUGCAGGAAUGGAUAUUGGACUUGAGUAUGAAUCUGAGCACAGUGGUCAGCGCAGCAAGUAAACUUGCUCAGCUCCGGUGUCUUUGGCAGACUAGAGAUUCUGAACAAGUGAGUGCCACAACUUGGGGAUUAGCCAUAUACACCUGUGCAGCCAGAAUAUUGACAACAUUAAUGACUACAAAGGAUUCUACAGCACUUACCAGCCUCCUUGUCAGCCGACCAGCGCUUGGAACUGAUUUUCGCACUGUGGUUGCUGGAAGCUAGCAGGAAAUUAUGUGGAGGUCCUUGCUUAAUGACCUGUGAACCUCUCUUAAGGACAGCAGCGGGGACUGCCAAGAUUGUUCUGAUCCGUUUUGUAGUCAUGAUGGUUCUCAAUAUUUGGGUCAUCACUACUAUAUUGGAAUACCGGAAGGCUAAGAAGCAAGACUAAAAUGCAGACCCUCCCCCCCUUUUUUAAACAACAUGGACUAAAAUGAGACAUUCCAUUAAAGGAGAGCUGAUGUUUACAUACUGUAUAUGUACCUGACAUUCCGUGCCAACACCUCAGGUGCAUUGUGAUGUUUACGCUUACUGUUUGUAAAAAAAAUAAUUGGCUAGAUGAACAAAGUAUUUCAUUUUAUAUGAGCAGAUUGCAUCUCAAAUUGGUUGAUUUUUAUUUGUUGGUUAUCUCCGUGGACAAUCCCACCCUUUUAGCACAGUAGGACCAACAACAGUUCAAGACAACAGAAAACUAAUGUUUUAUAUUUAUUGAGUUGCUGGCUUUUCAGAACUGCACUUCUGGCAACUGUUAUCUGUGGGGGUUUUUUCAUUAAGGUGAAAUUUAUCCUCCAAAGAUAAACUAGCCUAUGAGGAAAUCUUUCUCUGAUUUCCUCAUGCUAAAUUUCUUCUAAAUCUUCCUCUUAAAAAAAGACCUGUGUAUUUUAUUUAGUUAAGGGUAUUUCAAAACAGCUUCAACCAGAAAAUUUUUUUAAAAAAUCCUUUUAUUUCAGUUCCUGCACUUUAAAUAUGUUAAACUUGAUACUUUGUUUGGGUUUAUGUGUCAGUCUAUAUUUUUUGAACCAAAUUUGUAUCACUAUUUUGAGUAGCUGUUAACUGUUAUACUUUGGUUCCAAAUAUAAACAAAUACAUGAAACCUGAAGAACAUCAACAAUAUUUCAGCAAUUCUUUGAACUUGGUUUAGUGUCCCACUAGGUUUCAAGAAGUAUAAACGUAUCAUUAGUGCUUAAUUCUGAAAGCUACUUCAGCAAUAAAGAACGGCGGCAUUUCAAAAAAAUAUUAGUAAAGCUCUGUGUCUAUUCUUUGAACUAAAUAUGCAGCUUUCUGCAAUUAAACUUAAUUAAGGAAAUAAAGUGCUUUUGUUUAAUGUUAAGUACAGUAUCUUAAUUACAUUUUCAAAAUUUCUUUAACUCUUGAAUAAUUGUGCAUGUCACAUGGGAAUAAUAUAUAUAUGACCUGCUCUAUUAUGUGGGAAAUUAUCUGCAGAGAAAUUAAGUAUUUAUGAGUUCAGCUUGUCCUGGUAAAGGAUUUUUGUCAAAUUAGAGAUGCAACAGAUUUUAUUACGGAGGUGGCCAAGCUACAUUUUAUUUAGCCUGGUUUGUCAGGAUUUUUGUAAGGAUUAAAAGAAAAAAACAUCUACAUGCAUUCCAUCUGAGAUGACAUAAAGAUUAAACAUUUUAAAUUACAAUACCA